rnacentral:sRNA from 12 species
GCUUUCAACAUCCCCGUCUCGAAGGCGAAGGACGGUGCCGGCGAAUAGCCGACACCAAACGACCUUGUGAGACUGAAGGC